CCUUGUGGUCAUCCUGCUCUGCAUGCAUCUGAUCUAGGGAGCUAAGCAGAGUUGGGGCUGGUUAGUACUUAGAUGGGAGACUUGGGUGUUUUUUUGCCUCAGCAGGUUACGAAUACCGUGACUGGAAGGU
rnacentral:rRNA from 1 species